rnacentral:rRNA from 1 species
GACAGAGGGUGCAAACGUUGUUCGGAAUUACUGGGCGUAAAGCGAGUGUAGGCGGUUUGGUAAGUCGGAUGUGAAAGCCCUGGGCUCAACCCAGGAAGUGCACUCGAAACUGCCAAGCUAGAGUAUCGGAGAGGUUGGUGGAAUUCUCGGUGUAGAGGUGAAAUUCGUAGAUAUCGAGAGGAACACCGGUGGCGAAGGCGGCCAACUGGACGAAUACUGACGAUGAGACUCGAAAGCGUGGGGAGCAAACAGG